UACAGAGGUCUCAAGCGUUGUUCGGAUUCAUUGGGCGUAAAGGGUGUGUAGGUGGCGCCGUAAGUCGGGUGUGAAAUUUCGGAGCUUAACUCCGAAACUGCAUUCGAUACUGCGGUGCUUGAGGACUGGAGAGGAGACUGGAAUUCAUGGUGUAGCAGUGAAAUGCGUAGAGAUCAUGAGGAAGAUCAGUGGCGAAGGCGGGUCUCUGGACAGUUCCUGACACUGAGACACGAAGGCCAGGGGAGCAAACGGG
rnacentral:rRNA from 1 species